rnacentral:lncRNA from 13 species
GAAAACCUGUGGUCACCCUGACCACAAACUGGAAAUGCUUGCCCAUUGAGCUUUCACUAUUGACUUUAUUAUGUCCUGAUGGGAUUUUGGCAUUUUCUGAUGUAAGAUACCUUUCCACCUUUCUAUGAGUGUUGAAAAAUUUUCCUAGGUAGAGUUAGCUGUUUUUCUCAAACUAGACUAAAGGCCUCACUUAGACCUCUGUUUGUCCUCUGUAUCCAGCAAUGCCGAAGUCACUUCAAUUCUAAGCAUCCCCGCUUGGACCACAUAAUCACAGCCCAAUUUCUAAUGGACACUAUACAGUUCCCUAACACAAAAAGGAAGCAGAACUUGGAGCUAAAUGGAAUUACUUUGUAGGGGAAAUAAAUUGCUCACAGACAGAAGGAACUUGCCAUGUCUCAGAUAUGACUUGAAAUUGUGGACUUUUGAGUUCAUGCUGGAAGGAGUUAAGACUCUGGGGGACUGUUGGGAAGGCAUGAUUGUAUUUUGAAAUGUGAGGGGAACAUGAGAUUUGGAAGGGGCUGUGGUAGAAUGAUAUGGUUUGGAUCUGUUUCCACCCAAAUCUCAUGUUGAAAUGUAAUCCCCAAUGCCGGAGGUGGGGUCUGGUGGGAGGUAAAUAGAUCAUGCAGGCAGUUUCUAAUGGUUUAGCAACAUCCCCUAGUGCUGUUCUAAUGAUAAAGUUCUCUCAGGAUCUGAUUGUUUAAAAGUAUGUAGCACUUUCUCCCUCUCUCUUUCCCUCCUGCCCCUACCAUGCAUGAUGCCUCAUUCUCCCUUUGCUUUCUAUCAUAAUAAUAGGUUUUCCUGAGGGCUUGCCAGAAGCCAAGCAGAUGCCGGAAUUAUGCCCAUGGAACUGUGAACCAAUUAAACUUUAAACUUUUUUUCUUUACCCAGUCUCAGGUAUUUCUUUAGAGCAGUGUGAGAACAGACUAAUACAAGUGGUAUAUCAAAACAUUUUAUAAAUUGCUUCCUUUUCUUUAUUUUGAUGGAGUCUCACUCUAUCGCCCAGGCUGGAGUGCUGUGGCAUGAUCUCAGCUCACUGCAACCUCCAUCUGCUGGGUUCAAGUGAUUCUCAUGCCUCAGCCCCCUAAGUAGCAGGGAUUACAGGCACCUGCCAUCACAGCAGGUGAAUUUUUGUAUUAUUAGUACAGACAGCGUUUCUCCAUGUUGGCCAUGUUCGAACUCCUGACCUCAGAUGAUCCCUCUGCCUUGGCCUCCUAAGGUGCUGGAUUACAGGCAUGAGCCACCAUACCUGGCCACAAAUUUAUUUCUAAUUGUUGAUGACAUAUAGGAAUACAAUUGAUUUUUGUUUAUAGAUUUGUAUUCACCCACUUUGCAAUUUUCUCUUAGUACUUUUAUUAUUUUAUAUGUAGAUUUUUCUAGAUGUUCCAAAGAUAUGACUAUAUAAUAUGCAAAAAACAGUUAUGCUUCUUUCUUUAUUAUUUUUAUAUUAAUUUUUUUGCCUAAAUUUGCUGCCUAGGAUCUCCAGAACA